rnacentral:piRNA from 1 species
UGCAGAAGUUGCCUUUGCGGGUAUGCGGGC